CUGACGCUAAUAUGUCUUUGCCAUCAUGUAGCUGACUUACUACGAAUUCCACGUGCAGUUGUUUCAUUUAAAGCAAGCUACAAAAGCGGCCAGAAGUGACUUGGCCUAGAUGUUAGGGCUGACUUCUCUGAUGUCCAUCAGUCCUGUUGUGGAUGCACGGAUCCCCUUCUACCAAGUCAAAGCUGCCUAUUUGCUAUACUUACCUCAGGUGCAACACAUCCAGUCAUGAGAAAAGUGUGCCGUAUUCAGGUUCUGAGUGGACCCUGCUCAGAGGAAUGUCACUCUGCAGUUCUCAAGCGUUUAUUUGUUAUUGGUUAUACCCAAGAAAUGGAAGUAAACCACGAGAUGAAUAUGAUCUACAUACUCAGAAGUUUGCAGACAAAAGGUGUAAUUGUCUGGAUUUGUUGACAAGCAUAUGCUAUUUCUUUCCUUUUUAGCAGCAGAAGUCU